rnacentral:tRNA from 1 species
AGCGAUAUGGUGUAAAGGAUAGCACAACAGCCUCAUGACCUGUUAGUUUGGGUUCGAAUCCUGAUCUCGCUA